AGGAUGAACGCUGGCGGCGUGCCUAAGACAUGCAAGUCGAGUGGGUUUAGACCCACGGCGAACGGGUGAGUAAUACCUAGGAACUUUCUUUAAGUGGAGCAUAACCCAUAGAAAUGUGGGACAAUUCUCCAUGUGGCAGUAAUGCUAAAGUCGCAAGACGCUUAAAGUGAGGCCUGGGCACCAUCAGCUAGUUGGUAAGGUAAUGGCUUACCAAGGCUAUGACGGUUAGGGGUCCCGAGAGGGAUAACCCCCACACUGGAACUGCGACACGGUCCAGACUCCUACGGGAGGCAGCAGUUUGGAAUUUUGGACAAUGGGCGAAAGCCUGAUCCAGCGACGCCGCGUGGACGAUGAAGGCCUUCGGGUCGUAAAGUCCUUUUGCUCGGGAACAAUAUUUUGAGCGUACCGAGAGAAUAAGAGGUUGCUAACUCUGCGCCAGCAGCCG
rnacentral:rRNA from 1 species